CCUACGGGUGGCAGCAGUGGGGAAUAUUUCGCAAUGGGCGAAAGCCUGACGCAGCGACGCCGCGUGAGGGAUGCAGGUCUUCGGAUCGUAAACCUCUGUCAGCAGAGAAGAACGGUCACUGUGCUAAUCAGCAGUGAAUUGACGGUACCUGCAAAGGAAGCACCGGCUAACUCCGUUCCAGCAGCCUCGGUAAUACGGAGGGUGCGAGCGUUAAUCGGAAUUACUGGGCGUAAAGCGCUCGUAGGAGGUAUGUCAAGUCAAGGGUGAAAUCCCCGCGCGUAACGUGGGAUACGCCUUUGAAACUGGCAAACUGGAGUGUGUGAGAGGAUAGUGGAAGUCCAGGUGUAGGAGUGAAAUCCGUAGAGAUCUGGAGGAACACCAGUGGCGAAGGCGACUAUCUGGCACAUAACUGACGCUGAGGAGCGAAAGCGUGGGUAGCAAACAGGAUUAGAUACCCGUGUAGUC
rnacentral:rRNA from 1 species